AAAUGUUCUCGGGGCGGGGUGCAAUUCCCCACCGGCGGUAUCGGGGUAACCCGGAGCCCGCGAGCGCCUUGUCCCUCAAGCGGCAAGGGUCAGCAGAUCCGGUGAGAUGCCGGAGCCGACGGUUACAGUCCGGAUAAAAGAGAACAGCC
rnacentral:ncRNA from 2 species